AAUGGGCGAAAGCCUGACGCAGCAACGCCGUGUGAGGGAUGAAGGCUUUCGGGUCGUAAACCUCUGUCAGAAGGGAAGAACGGGUGAUGGUCUAAUAGGCCGUCAUUUUGACGGUACCUUCAGAGGAAGCACCGGCUAACUCCGUGCCAGCAGCCGCGGUAAUACGGAGGGUGCAAGCGUUAUUCGGAAUUACUGGGCGUAAAGCGCACGUAGGCGGCCUUGUAAGUCAGGGGUGAAAUCCCACGGCUCAACCGUGGAACUGCCUUUGAAACUGCAGGGCUUGAAUCCUGGAGAGGGUGGCGGAAUUCCUGGUGUAGGAGUGAAAUCCGUAGAUAUCAGGAGGAACACCGGUGGCGAAGGCGGCCACCUGGACAGGUAUUGACGCUGAGGUGCGAAAGUGUGGGGAGCAAA
rnacentral:rRNA from 1 species